CACGUAGGGUGCGAGCGUUGUCCGGAAUUAUUGGGCGUAAAGAGCUCGUAGGCGGUGUGUCGCGUCGGCCGUGAAAACCUGCAGCUUAACUGUGGGCUUGCGGUCGAUACGGGCAUCACUGGAGUUCGGCAGGGGAGACUGGAAUUCCUGGUGUAGCGGUGAAAUGCGUAGAGAUCAGGAGGAAUACCGGUGGCGAAAGCGACUCUCUGGACGGCAACUGACGCUGAGGCACGAAAGCGUGGGGAGCAAACAGG
rnacentral:rRNA from 1 species